AACGAACGCUGGCGGCAUGCCUAACACAUGCAAGUCGAACGAGACCUUCGGGUCUAGUGGCGCACGGGUGCGUAACGCGUGGGAACCUGCCCUUAGGUUCGGAAUAACUCCCCGAAAGGGGUGCUAAUACCGGAUAAUGUCUUCGGACCAAAGAUUUAUCGCCUUUGGAUGGGCCCGCGUUGGAUUAGCUAGUUGGUAGGGUAAAAGCCUACCAAGGCGACGAUCCAUAGCUGGUAUGAGAGGAUGAUCAGCCACACUGGGACUGAGACACGGCCCAGAAUCCUACGGGAGGCAGCAGUGGGGAAUAUUGGAAAAUGGGCGAAAGCAUGAUCCAGCAAUGCCGGGUGAGUGAUGAAGGCCUUAGGGUUGUAAAGCUAUUUUACCCGGGAUGAUAAUGACAGUACCGGGAGAAUAAGCACCGGCUAACUCCGUG
rnacentral:rRNA from 1 species